GUGAUAGCAAGAGAAAAGAAUCCAGUGGAAGCAAAGACCGAGAAAGCUCAAAGGAACAGGACAAAGAGAAAAAUAAAGAACGAGACAGAAGUAGAGACAGAGAAAAAGAGGAUGACAAAGACAAACGAAAGCAGGGUGACUCCUCUAGGAGAAAAGAGAGUUCUUCUAACAAGACAGACAGUUCAGAUAAAAGAAAACGAGAUGAUUCUGCCAAGAAAGAAAAAGAGAAAGAAAGAGA